rnacentral:rRNA from 1 species
UGGGGAAUAUUGGACAAUGGGGGCAACCCUGAUCCGGCAAUGCCGCGUGUGUGAAGAAGGUUUUCGGAUUGUAAAGCACUUUCGGCGGGGACGAUGAUGACGGUACCCGCAGAAGAAGCCCCGGCUAACUUCGUGCCAGCAGCCGCGGUAAUACGAAGGGGGCUAGCGUUGCUCGGAAUGACUGGGCGUAAAGGGCGUGUAGGCGGUUUGUACAGUCAGAUGUGAAAUCCCCGGGCUUAACCUGGGAGCUGCAUUUGAGAUGUGCAGACUAGAGUGUGAGAGAGGGUUGUGGAAUUCCCAGUGUAGAGGUGAAAUUCGUAGAUAUUGGGAAGAACACCGGUGGCGAAGGCG